rnacentral:lncRNA from 1 species
AAUGUAAGGUCAGACAAGCAAUGGGCAACAGGACUAGGAACUGAAGCCAGACAACCUUGUGCUUUCAUUGCAAGGUCUUCCUCCUCCUCCUCCAGCCCUUUUAAGCAGAAAUGCCUAACACCUCGGUGCUUUCAGCAGGUUUCCAUACUAGGCACAUCUCUGGAGGUCAGAGGAGGGUGGGAAAAUCUCUUUUUGUCAGUGCGUGGGAGGGCCCUGACAGCUGCAGGCGGAGCUGGGGCCCAUCUAAACCAAUUUGGCAGCUCUUGCUGUGCUCUGGCCUCUGGAGAUGGUGACCUGGAAUGCAAAGCCUCCUGCCUUGUGUGGUCUUGUGCCUACACAUGCUGCAUGAGUCUAAUGCUAGUCUUGCAUGAAGAGGCACACCACUUCUUUCCCAUGGAUUUUUAUUACCUCUGUGCAGUAACUGUUGACAAACAUUUACAUUUUUGAAAAAUGAUGAGCACUGUGUUUGUGAACUUGGAGACAUCGCUGUUCCCAACAACUGGUCAUUAAUCAAAGCUGUGGUGAAGGAACUCUUAGACUCAGUGGAGGUAAGAGCAACAAGGGGAGAAAACUUUUGAAUGGAUGCAUGAGCAAACAGCACACACUGCAAAAAAUAAUGCUUUUAUCAGUGAGGUCAGUCACAUUGCCUGUAGUAAGGAUCAAAUUUAGGGGUUUUGUGUGGGAGCCAGGGCUCCCAAGCCUGACUGAUGGAGGAAAACACCUCUAGAGGCUGAUGCAGAAUAUCCAAAUUGUAAUGCAAUUUGGAUAUUAAUUUAGAUGCCUUCUUCUUUCCUUUUGCUAUACUUAGAACCUCAGCAGGUACUUAAAUUAAGGGAUUAAAAUUAGUAAAGACAAAUUGCAUUCCCUCUGCUCCAGUGUGUUCAGUGCCAUGAAAUGUCUCUGGGGGCUGUGUGUGCUCUGUACUUCAUAGGAUUUUUUUUAUAUCAGGGACAAAUUUCCUCUGAUCCUGUGUCCUCAGGGGUAAUGCUAUAUUUUCAUUAGUAUUUCAAAUUUGUCAGGUUGUCAUGGUCAGUUGCUGACUAGAGAUGAGGCUUUCAUGUGACACUCACUGACUCUUCUGGAAUAGCAAAGUAUCUUACAUUCAUCUCAUUUGAGGGGUUUCUUAUGGGAGUUUUUGAUGACAACUCUGAACAUGUGUGGCUAAUUCUUGCCUGAUAAAGUCUGGCUGUUUUGUCUUUGAGGAAUGAAGUCAUAAGAGAUGGACUCAAACCAGAAUGUGACACAUUCCUUGGAGGUGGAGAGAUGCUUCAUCCACCCCAGCAAGGAGACCUGAGGGCAACACCAGAGUCUUGACAUUGAAACAUUUCAGAAGGCAAGGUUCAUGUUUCUGACUUCAGCCAAGACUGCGUGUGAGUGCUCAUUAAAUAUUAAAUAAUAGUACGGUUCAGAUCUGAAUCCAAACUUCUCAUCUUGCACCAUUCCACCU